CGUUCUCAUAUAAAUUCACUGUCUGACUUAAGCAUCGGAGGAGCGACAAGAACAUAUCUCAUUGCCUUUGUUUCAGGUACCGAAAGGCUCUGUUCGUGCUCUCUCUCAGUCCUCAAGUUCGAGAGGUUUACCAGAUACGAUUUUUGGUAGUAUCAGAUACCAUUCACUAAUUCCAAGAAUUUAUUUAUUCUCGACUUACUACAUUUAUGGUGUGUUUGACUGCAAUGUGGAAUUUAUAUGAAAAGAAAAUAAAUUAUAGACAAUUGAAUUGCCUAGAAAUUAUUUGCAUAGAAAUUACUAGUUGGUAGAUGGGACGAAAAAUGUUAAAGCGAAAGUAUAGGAAAAAUUGGUUUACUUCUCAUAAACAUCCAAGGAUCCCAGCAACUCUGACAAAGCAUGAUCCACAAAAAUAAUUCAAGCGCUCAAUCAAACUUCACAACACUAGUUUUGAUUUCAAUUCCAAAUCCAGAGCAUGAAAUAAACAUAUGGAGAUUCACAAAUUUGUCAAUUUUAAUUUUGUUUAAUUCACUUCACUAGAAAAAAAAGGUGUUUUUAAUUAAAUUUUCCUCAUUCUACAAUGCUCAAGGCUCUCUCCGCUGAAUAGCAUGAGCAACUUUUAAUAAACGAGAAAUCGAAACGGAACUGUUCAAAAGUUCUUAAAACCACAAAAUUCAGUUC
rnacentral:lncRNA from 1 species